CCUACUCAGGAAUGUAAGGAAAAUGUGCAAAAUGACACUCUCAGUGCACUAAAAUGAACUCUGGAAGUUUGGCAGAAGCACAUAUUUAACUUUGCUCACAAGCACAACCAACUGAAUCAAGCUGUACUAGUAGCACCAGCCAAAGAUGAAUUCUCAAAGACAAACAGGCUGUGGCAAAACUGAGAAGAUCCAAGAGUUCCUGAAGAGUUCCCUUCAUGUAGGUAUUAAAUCUGGGCCAUGCUCUUGCUGCCAAAUUCUUAAUGUGCACACAAAAGCAAACAGCAAUAUUGGCAUAAUGAAUGCAGAGUCACUGACCUGUGCCCUCAUUCAGCCAGACAGAUGUUGGCUGUACCACUGCCCAGAUCAACUGAGCAAAGACCAAAGACGCUUGGAGAACAGCAAGCAUCUGCCCCACCUGAAGUAAGGACUUCACUCACUAGAUCAACUGAGUAAGGCUCAAGAGCUGAAAAAUUAUGUGGACAGAACAUCCCAAACAAGCUCUUUGCAAAGACUCAACAGCGGCUACUGUUCAUAUAGAUAAACAUAUCUGAAGUUGCGUUACCUAUGCUGUAAUCAACCUGCCUCUUAACAGACCAGUUAGUUCUUCACAUAAAACAAGUUCUGAAAUGUAGCUUGAGAUAUAUCUAGAAAUAAAAAUCAUG